CCUUUUCACCGUGAACAGGCGCGCGGGGUUCUUUUUCUCUUGGGAAGUUGAAAUUACAUUUCCCAAGGGGAAAAAAAACCGGGAGCUUGGGGCUGCGGCCUCCUGCUCGCGGUUUGCGAACCCCGCACGCCUCUUCGCCAUCCACCCUCUUUUACGAGCACCUUUCCUUCUUCCUCGGCGGGGCGACCCGCCGGCGGAACCAUACACGAACUCUUAUGCAUCUAAGAAGUACUGUUCUGAUAAACCAAAAUCGUUA
rnacentral:misc_RNA from 1 species